AACGGGAGGCUGCAGUAGGGAAUCUUCCACAAUGGGCGCAAGCCUGAUGGAGCAACGCCGCGUGUGUGAUGAAGGCUUUCGGGUCGUAAAGCACUGUUGUAUGGGAAGAACGGGUUUAAGAGGAAAUGCUUAGACAGUGACGGUACCAUACCAGAAAGGGACGGCUAAAUACGUGCCAGCAGCCGCGGUAAUACGUAUGUCCCGAGCGUUAUCCGGAUUUAUUGGGCGUAAAGCGAGCGCAGACGGUUGCUUAAGUCUGAAGUGAAAGCCCACAGCUCAACUGUGGAAUGGCUUUGGAAACUGGGCAACUUGAGUGCAGUAGAGGUAAGUGGAACUCCAUGUGUAGCGGUGGAAUGCGUAGAUAUAUGGAAGAACACCAGUGGCGAAGGCGGCUUACUGGACUGUAACUGACGUUGAGGCUCGAAAGUGUGGGUAGCAAACAGGAUUAGAUACCCUGGUAGUCCACACCGUAAACGAUGGAUACUAGUUGUUAGAGGGUUUCCGCCCUUUAGUGACGAAGCAAACGCAUUAAGUAUCCCGCCUGGGGAGUACGACCGCAAGGUUGAAACUCAAAGGAAUUGACGGGGACCCGCACAAGCGGUGGAGCAUGUGGUUUAAUUCGAAGCAACGCGAAGAACCUUACCAGGUCUUGACAUCCUUUGAAGGUACUAGAGAUAGUACUGUCUUCUUCGGAAGCAAAGUGACAGGUGGUGCAUGGCCGUCGUCAGCUCGUGUCGUGAGAUGUUGGGUUAAGUCCCGCAACGAGCGCAACCCUUAUGUUUAGUUGCCAGCAUUCAGUUGGGCACUCUAGACAGACUGCCGGUGACAAACCGGAGGAAGGCGGGGACGACGUCAGGUCAUCAUGCCCCUUAUGACCUGGGCUACACACGUGCUACAAUGGCGUAUACAACGAGCAGCAAACCUGUGAAGGUAAGCGAAUCUCUUAAAGUACGUCUCAGUUCGGAUUGUAGUCUGCAACUCGACUACAUGAAGUCGGAAUCGCUAGUAAUCGCGGAUCAGCAUGCCGCGGUGAAUACGUUCCCGGGUCUUGUACACACCGCCCGUCACACCAUGGGAGUUGGUAAUGCCCANAAACCGGUGGCCUAACCUUCGGGGAGGAGCCGUCUAAGGCAGGACUGAUGA
rnacentral:rRNA from 1 species